GGGGGAGGGGAUUCCUACAUUCUCUCUCAAUUACAUUAUUGAACAGCUGCUAGUGUUUUCAUCACUGAACAUGUGGGUUGCUGCAGAGUUACCAAUACUGUAAUUGGGUUGCUCAGUACAAGGGGCAGGGCUGUAGUUAUAGUAAUAGCCAGUGUUAGGUGGAAUAAAAGGAGACCUGUGAUACAUCAUCUGAGGUUGAGGUGGCUGUUGCUGCUGCUGCAUUAUAUGCCUGUUUUGCAUGUUCAUCAUCAUGGAUGCUGCUGCUGCUGGAUGGUUAUACCCAUUCAUAUUCAUCAUCGUAGCUGAUGGAUGUUGCCCUGCGGCAUAUAAACCACUAGGGAACUCUCCUCCAGAUGAUCCUUGAUAUCCCAUAUUGGAUUGAACUUGUUGAAACCCUCCUACACCAUUGGGAUUGCAUCCCAACCCAGUAGCAGUAGCUGAAUUAGGAAUAUUACCAACAUUUCCAUUAAAACCAGCAAGGUUCAUCAUGGUUGCAAUGUCAUUUGCCCUUUUCCCUUCACCAGAAUUGAUGUUUCCACCUCCUAAUUGGGUACUGUUCAUUUUCAAAGCCGCCAUGGCUUGUUGAUCUAUCUCACCUGGAUUAACCUUCAUUCCCAUGUUCUGAUUUGGGUUUGGGGUUCCUUUCUUUUGGGCAUUCCCGUUCCCAACAUUGUUGUUCAUCUUAUUACCAUUGUUGGGAGCUGCUGCCAUGGCUCUAACAUUUUUCUUUGCAUUGCUUGCCUCAAUAUGCUGCCUGAGUAGACCAAGAUUGCUUGGCCCGAGAAACCUGAGCUCAUCCUCCUCAUCUUCUUCAUCAAUAUCGUCUAAAUAGUCAUCAUCUUCUUCAGAGCUGAAUGCAGGGAACUUCUGCUGGUUCUUUAAGGCUUCUAGGCCUUUGAGGAUGCUUCGUUUUUGGCCUUUGUUGUUCUUGUCAUCUUUGAUGCAGUUGCCCUUUUGGUUUUGGUUUUGGUUGGACUUCUGGGACCAAACCUCAGCAUGUUUACCAGCUCUGACUAACUUCUUAAUCAAAGUUGCAGAGUCUACACUUCCUGAUACUGCGACCUUCUGUUGCUCUGCAUCUAUGUUUACUUGGUAAACACCUUCAAUCCGCUGAAGGAGUUUCUUCACUUUCUGCUUACACCCAUCACAGUGUAUGUUCACUUUGAGAACACAAGUCUGUGGAAGAAACCAAUAACAAGAAAGAAAGUGAGCAAACAGCAAAAACAAGAAGAAAGAUGCUUGAGGAAAAGCACCACCAGACUUUGCUAUAGAUAAAAGAGGGGGAAAAAAACCAUAAAAAAAUGAUAGAGUGGGCUAUAAGAAAAGACAGAAAGAAUGUGAUUGGAGAGAGAGAGACCUGGAUCUUAAGGAGCUUAAAGUCUUCUUCUUUGGUCAUUUCUUCAGUGGCGUUUGGGAAUGAAAGAGUUUCACUCAGCUAGAAAAGAGGAAAAAGAAAAUAAAGUUAAAGAGAGUGGGUAAUAAUAAGCUAGUUAUAGUGGGAAGAGGAUUGCAUGUGGUGAGGAAGGAGAGUUUCUUUCUUGAAGUUAAACGAAGCAAGAUAGAAUAUAAGAUUCUUCUUUUUCUUUCUUUAAUUUGUGUUUCCCUUCUUGCAGUUCAUCAAAAGCAAACCCAAAAGAGAAGCACAUGGGGUGGUUUUUUAGUUUGAAAGAAAUAAAAAAACCAGAGAGAGGGAGAGAGAGAGAGGAGAUGCACUGCCAAGACAAGACAAGCUGAAGAAAGUCAGAAAGAGGGAGAGAGAAAUAAGGGAGGAGGAGAUGGCCUUU
rnacentral:misc_RNA from 1 species